rnacentral:tRNA from 1 species
GCCGACAUAGCACAAUUGGCAGUGCAACUGAUUUGUAAUCAGUAGGUUGGGAGUUCAAGUCUCUCUGUCGGCACCA